CCCAUGCCUCUUUUGUAACCAUCCCCUCUUCAAACCGCAGCCCUUGGCAACCACUAAUCUGUUUUUCUUCCUGUAGUUUGGCUUUCUUAAGAAUGUCGUAUAAACUGAGUCAUGGAGUAGGUAGCCCUUGGUAUCCUGCUUCUUUCAGCUAGCAUAAUGCAUGUGAGAUCCAUUCAUGCUGUUGUGCAAAACAGUAGUUUGUUUCUUUUUAUUGCUGAGUAAGGAUUUUAUUGUAUGGAAUGUACCAGUUUGUUUAUCCAUUCUCCAGUUGAGAAACAUUUGGGUAGUUUUUAGUUCCUGGUGAUGACAGAUAAAGCUGCUGCAAACAUUCAUGUGCAUAUUUUCGUGAGGAUGUAGUUUUCAUUUCACUUGAGUAAAUGCAAAGCAGUGAGAUUGCUGGGUCAUACACUUCUAGACUUCCCAUGUUCCAAGUCCACUUCUGCCGGCAGAAUAGAAACCUCGUCAGUUAUCACAACUCAGAUGAAAAAGCCUCACAGCUUGCGGUGUUGACAGUAUUCUAGAAGACCCUACACCCCUGUGGCUUCUCGAUGACUAAUGUGGAGCCAGCAUCUGUCAGCACAAACUCAGAGUGAUUACCCAGAAAUAGGUAUCCUUCUAAUUAAAAUAUCUGACCAUGUCCCCAUCAGCCACUUGCCUCAUUUGGGACACCACCAACCAUCCUGCACGGCUGCCCAUGUUUCUGUUUCUCCAGCCCAAGCAUGCAGUUUCAGUAGGUCCUUCAGAGGCUGCCUGAAAGGAGCUCCUGAAUUUCACAGACAAAUCCAGACCCCUGUGUGGAAAGCCUGCGGUGGUGUUCUCCGUCUUCCCACAGGACUCCCUGCAGCCAGGAAUUCUAGGGGAGCACCUGACGCGAGGUAUACGCCCAGAUGGCCUGAAGUAACUGAAGAAUCACAAAAGAAGUGAAAAUGUCCUGCCCCGCCUUAACUGAUGACAUUCCACCACAAAGGAAGUGUCAAUGGCUGGUCCUUGCCUUAACUGAUGACAUUCCACCGCAAAAGAAGUGAAAAUGGCCGGUCCUUGCCUUAACUGAUGACAUUACACCACAAAAGAAGUGAAAAUGGCCGGUCCUUGCCUUAAGUGAUGGCAUUACCUUGUGAAAGUCCUUUUCCUGGCUCAUUCUGGCUCAAAAUCACCCCCACUGAGCACCUUGUGACCCCCACUCCUGCCCGCCAGGGAACAAUCCCCCUUUGACUGUAAUUUUCCUUUACCUACCCAAAUCUUAUAAAAUGGCCCCACCCCUAUCUCCCUUUGCUGACUCUCUUUUUGGACUCAGCCUGCCUGCAUCCAGGUGAUUAAAAG
rnacentral:lncRNA from 1 species